CUUACCAGGCCUUGACAUGCAGAGAACUUUCCAGAGAUGGAUUGGUGCCUUCGGGAACUCAGACACAGGUGCUGCAUGGCGGUCGUCAGCUCGUGUCGUGAGAUGUUGGGUUAAGUCCCGUAACGAGCGCAACCCUUGUCCUUAGUUACCAGCACGUAAUGGUGGGCACUCUAAGGAGACUGCCGGUGACAAACCGGAGGAAGGUGGGGAUGACGUCAAGUCAUCAUGGCCCUUACGGCCUGGGCUACACACGUGCUACAAUGGUCGGUACAAAGGGUUGCCAAGCCGCGAGGUGGAGCUAAUCCCAAAAACCCGAUCGUAGUCCGGAUCGCAGUCUGCAACUCGACUGCGUGAAGUCGGAAUCGCUAGUAAUGGCG
rnacentral:rRNA from 1 species